rnacentral:rRNA from 1 species
UACGUAGGGUGCAAGCGUUGUCCGGAAUUAUUGGGCGUAAAGAGCUCGUAGGCGGUCUGUUGCGUCAGCUGUGAAAACCCGGGGCUCAACUCCGGGCCUGCAGCCGAUACGGGCAGACUAGAGUUCGGCAGGGGAGACUGGAAUUCCUGGUGUAGCGGUGAAAUGCGCAGAUAUCAGGAGGAACACCGGUGGCGAAGGCGGGUCUCUGGGCCGAUACUGACGCUGAGGAGCGAAAGCGUGGGGAGCGAACAGG